GACGAACGCUGGCGGCGUGCCUAAUACAUGCAAGUCGAACGCUUCUUUCCUCCCGAGUGCUUGCACUCAAUUGGAAAGAGGAGUGGCGGACGGGUGAGUAACACGUGGGUAACCUACCCAUCAGAGGGGGAUAACACUUGGAAACAGGUGCUAAUACCGCAUAACAGUUUAUGCCGCAUGGCAUAAGAGUGAAGGGCGCUUUCGGGUGUCGCUGAUGGAUGGACCCGCGGUGCAUUAGCUAGUUGGUGAGGUAACGGCUCACCAAGGCCACGAUGCAUAGCCGACCUGAGAGGGUGAUCGGCCACACUGGGACUGAGACACGGCCCAGACUCCUACGGGAGGCAGCAGUAGGGAAUCUUCGGCAAUGGACGAAAGUCUGACCGAGCAACGCCGCGUGAGUGAAGAAGGUUUUCGGAUCGUAAAACUCUAUUGUUAGAGAAGAACAAGGACGUUAGUAACUGAACGUCCCCUGACGGUAUCUAACCAGAAAGCCACGGCUAACUACGUG
rnacentral:rRNA from 1 species